rnacentral:tmRNA from 1 species
GGGCUUGUACUGGUUUCGACGGGGGUCAUGCAGCUGGUGAAGCUAUCCCCAUGCAAUGGGUUAAAUGGCAAACCUAAAUAUAAACGCUGAAGAUAAUUUAGCAUACGCUGCCUAAUUAGGCAGUUGUCAGCCUCUUAGCACCUGCACUUAGAGAAUCUGGCAUCGACUAUGCAGGAAACGACACAGGCAAAGCUUUGAGCCUGCGGGCGUAGUAUGAAGCUACUAAAACCAUCAGGGUGUCUGCUUCCGGAUGGCGGAGGGAAUGUCAAAUAACAGACUAUGAUAGUAGAAGAACAGGGAAUUGAUUUUCGGACAGGGGUUCGAUUCCCCUCAGGUCCACU